rnacentral:ribozyme from 1 species
GCUAUCAAUUGAAGAUUCUUACCACGGCAAUAUUCAGUGCAAUACUUCUCAAGAGAACGUUUUCAUGCACCAAAUGGUUUUCGCUCAUUAUCCU